GAGACUCUGCUGUAAACGGUACCGCUAAACCCAACGCGCUGCCUCCAUCCACUCGCCCGCUGCCCGCCGAAGGGAUGACUUCCCGUUGGAACACCCGGGUGCGUGAGGACUGAUCGGAACAGUGCUCGGCACAUAGUCAUCAGAGGGGUCACUGAACAGAACUCAGCCAAGAACCUACCCUACGAAAUAUCCCGCACCGCGAUCCACUAAAUCGACGGACCUAGCUGACGAAACAUUAGGGACACCCCGUUCUGAACUCCAGGCAGCUGUGGAGCGCCGCUGAUCCGCCUGGAAGAAAAUGGGGAGCAUAAGCUUCAGCUUCCUGUUUCAGAAAGUCACCGGAAAGUGCUGUGGUUCUGGAUAGGCUCCAAUUCUCAUUCUUCUCAAAAUGAAGAACCUUGAAAUUCCGUCUCCAGUAUAAAAUGACUCCAAUGAAAUUCCGGUUUCCACUCCAGCAAAAUUACAAGACAGGAGAGGUUUUUUGGGUUUCCGUCCAGCCCCGGCCAAGUUAAAUACGUAUUGGCUAUUAUUCCUUGGGAAAUAAUUAGAAGAGUAUUAGUGUUGAGGUGCCAUCCCUUUGACUCACACCACCCAGAGGUAAGCUAUUCAAAGACAAUCCUGCUUUCUGGUGGGCCGGACACCGGAGAAGUCUGCGGGGUUUCUUGGGGGCAGUCUAGUGACUUGAAAGAGUGAAUGUGCUCAGCCAAGUCUCAGGGAAGAGAGGGAAGCUGCCUAAAGCACCUGGGAAAGAUCUGAACUAACUGUAAUUGAUAAAAAUUAAGUAGUCAACUGAGAAAAUAGAUGAUCAAUCAAACAGUCGUGGACAUUUAUUGAGCACUUAUCGAGCACUUAUUGUGCACACAGGACUGUACUAGGUGUUUAGGAGGGUACAAUAUAUUAACGUUGGUAGACAGAAACCCUGACCACAAGAAGCUUACAGUUUGGAAGGGGAGAUGCAUUAAAAUAAAUUAAAUAAUGAAAUGAAGUCAAAUAAAUUAUAGAUGGGAAAAUGGGAAUCUAUAAAGAUAUUGUUAUUAUGGCUUAGUGGAAAGA